GACACCCACACGACUAGGAGGAGGCAGAAAGUGAACAGGGAACUCUUAUUACUUUUUGAGAGUCAGCAAGUUAAGACAUCAUCUCCAGAAAACUGUGCUAGUUGGCAUCCAGCAGUGCCCAAGUAUUAUUUAACCCAUUAGAACCUGUGACAACAUCAGCUUUAUUUCCUUGACCUCAGCCUGGAACAAAGGAGAGCUACACUUGGAUAGUAAACACAAGUGAUCUGGAUAGAUUAUGCUGGGAAAAGAAGCCUGGAGUGGGCAGUACAGUGGGAGAACAAGAAAAUUAUGCGAGACAUCUCACAGAGCAGAAUCAGACUUGCAGCCCAUGAUAAAACAGAAGACCGUCUGCAACAUCAAAGAAAUACAGAAGAUUUUAUGGCUUGCUGUUUGUUUACCUACAAGGGAAAUGCCUGAAGGCCUGAAGUAUGUAUUACAUGUAGUUUGGCUGCACUUACAGGAAAAACUUGGAUUUCUAACUUGUGUCAAACAAAGAAUGCAUUGUCCUUGGUCCAUAUUGAUUGGUGAAACACAGAAAUUUUCCAUUUAUUAUUCACUUUAUUAUUGCAUUUAUUUAUUUUUGACUACAGUUUGUUUUUUAAUUUCAUUACACCUGUUUUCAUUCAUGCAGUGA
rnacentral:lncRNA from 1 species